rnacentral:lncRNA from 1 species
ACUUGAGUCCUUUGGGGUUAGUCACAAUGGUUCUUUUUGAAAUCCAUAUUUUUUUAAUAUUUCUAUCACCAAAUUUAUUUGAUAAACAUGAAUAAGCUUUAUGCCCUUCUUUGCCACAUUUAAAACAAGUAAUAUUUGGUAAUUUUUUUAUGGAUGCAUUGAUAAAAAUAUUUUUCAAAAAUUUUUAUUUUCUAAGAGUGUUAUACCCAAGUCUGACUUAAUCAUAUACAGCUUUUUGACUAUCAAUGAUCAUCUAAAGUUUGUUUGAACUUAAUGUAAAUCUAUCAACUAUAGG